rnacentral:rRNA from 1 species
AUUGAACGCUGGCGGCAGGCCUAACACAUGCAAGUCGAACGAGUGGCGGACGGGUGAGUAAUGUCUGGGAAACUGCCCGAUGGAGGGGGAUCACUACUGGAAACGGUAGCUAAUACCGCAUACCAUCGGCAGUGCCCAGAUGGGAUUAGCUAGUAGGUGGGGUAACGGCUCACCUAGGCGACGAUCCCCAGCUGGUCUGAGAGGAUGACCGGCCACACUGGAACUGAGACGCGGUCCAGAAUCCUACGGGAGGCAGCAGUGGGGAAUAUUGCACAAUGGGCGCAAGCCUGAUGCAGCCAUGCCGCGUGUAUGAAGAAGGCUGUCGAGUUGUAAAGUACUUUCAGCGAGGAGGCGUUACUCGCAGAGGAAGCACCGGCUAACUCCGUGCCAGCAGCCGCGGUAAUAC